rnacentral:rRNA from 1 species
AUGGAGCAAGGCCGUCGCGAAGCCGCCGUCGCGGGCGGAGAUCUGCAGAAGACGGGCGCGGAGACCGUGGCAGAUGCCGUGCAGACCCUCGUCGGCGGCGCGGGUGCAGGAGCUGCUGCAUCCCCACGCGUUGGAUCGGUCGCUGCGGCGGCGGAUCCGGAGGAGAAGAAGGUGGCCGUGGCGGACUCCGCCGUGGCGGACUCAGCCAUGCCGGUGCUUGGCGUGACGGCGUCGAGCGGCCCGUCUGAUGGACCUGCGGAGGCCGGCGGCGAGCACGUGGACCUGCAGGUAAUCCUUGCCAGCAGUCCCCUCUGA